GAACGCCUGCGCGGGGUAUGUCAAUGGUUUUUACCUUUCAGACUAGAGAACAAAGUACACAGGAGAGACACCUGUGACAUACAUUAUUUUGGAUACACAAUUCUGUGAAUAUUAUUGUCAACACCAAAGGGCCUAAAUCUAGCGAAACAACUACCUGGGUGGGUGAACAAACGUGGAGGAACUGGGCUCUGAGGAUUUAAUGGAUACUGUUUGCCAAAUGGAUUGUACCUGAAGUCGGAGAGAAGGUUGUCAACGGAACUACCAGCCAGGACUCCAUUUUGGAGAAAAGGUUGUCAACGGAACUACCAGCCAGGACUCCAUUUUGGAGAAAAGGUUGUCAACGGAACUACCAGCCAGGACUCCAUUUUGGAGAAACGGCAGCUGAUCACCAUGGAGCCCCCGGAGGACUCCCAGUGCCCGUUGAUGUUCUGGGAGAGAAUGAAGCAUUGCAGCAGUUCUUUGACGAUGUAAGUGGGUCCAGUGGGCCUGACAUGCUGGCCUUGAUGUGGGCCAUGACCAGCCUCUCCGGGCACUUCAUGAGGACUGAGGAUGCCAGGAUAUGAGUGGGGUCCUGAGAGUGCGGUG
ensembl:lncRNA